rnacentral:rRNA from 1 species
UACGUAGGGGCCUAGCGUUGUCCGGAUUUAUUGGGCGUAAAGAGCUCGUAGGCGGUUCGGUAAGUCAGGUGUGAAAUCUCCACGCUCAACGUGGAGGCGCCACCUGAAACUGCCGUGACUAGAGUCCGGAAGAGGAGAGUGGAAUUCCCGGUGUAGCGGUGAAAUGCGCAGAUAUCGGGAGGAACACCAGUAGCGAAGGCGGCUCGCUGGGCCAUUCCUGACGCUGAGACGCGAAAGCUAGGGGAGCGAACAGG